rnacentral:rRNA from 1 species
AUUGAACGCUGGCGGCAGGCCUAACACAUGCAAGUCGAGCGAGCGGCGGACGGGUGAGUAAUGUAUGGGGACUGCCCGAUAGAGGGGGCUAACUACAGGGGACGGUAGCUAAUACCGCGUACUAUAGGAUAACCCCUAUGGGAUUAGCUAGUGGGUGAGGUAAUGGCUCACCUAGGCGACGAUCCCUAGCUGGUCUGAGAGGAUGAUCAGCCACACUGGGACUGAGACACGGCCCAGACUCCUACGGAGGCAGCAGUGGGGAAUAUUGCACAAUGGGCGCAAGCCUGAUGCAGCCAUGCCGCGUGUAUGAAGAAGGCCCUAGGGUUGUAAAGUACUUUCAGUCGGGAGGCGUUACCGACAGAAGAAGCACCGGCUAACUCCGUGCCAGCAGCCGCGGUAAUAC